rnacentral:rRNA from 1 species
UGUGUAUCAGUACAUGGCAUAUCAAUAAGCGGAGGAAAAGAAACUAACAAGGAUUCCCUUAGUAACGGCGAGUGAAGCGGGAAGAGCUCAAAUUUGAAAUCUUCAAGGUUCUACCUUGACGAAUUGUAGUUUAUAGAAGUGUUUUCUGUUAGUGGAGUGGCAAAAGUUCUUUGGAAUAGGACAUCAUAGAGGGUGAGAAUCCCGUAUUUGGUCAUUCCUUCCUAGCUUUGUGAUACACUUUCAACGAGUCGGAUUGUUUGGGAAUGCAGUCCAAGAUGGGUGGUAAAUUUCAUCUAAAGCUAAAUAUUGGCGAGAGACCGAUAGCGAACAAGUACCGUGAGGGAAAGAUGAAAAGAACUUUGAAAAGAGAGUUAAACAGUACGUGAAAUUGUCAAAAGGGAAGCGUUUGACACCAGUGUUGUUUUUCCGAAAAUCAAUUACGAAUGUUUUAGUUUUUGAGGAGUUAUGACUUCAUCGGCUUGCUCCUUUCUUUACUGAAACUUUCUUAAUGCACUUUUCGGUUAACAAGUCAACAUCAAUUUCUUUUGUUGUAAAAGGGUAUGAGGAAGGUGGCUUUCUUUUCGGAGAAAGUGUUUAUAGCCUUGUGCCUCUGCAAUCGGAGAGAUUGAGGUCUGCAGCGUAGAUCCUUCGGGGUUAGAUACGUUUGUGCUAAGUUAUAGCUUUUCAUAGACAACUUGUUGACUAUGUUUAGUCUUGUAGCUUACUCGCUGACGCUAUUUUACCUACGCUUAGGAUGUUGACAGCAGUAUAGACUGU